CAAACACCAUUCUUCGUUAAGAGUUGUUAUACUUCCAAAGAUCUAAAAGCAAAACCAUAUUAUUCAAUUAUAAUUUCAACGAUGGAUGCCAGUUUCAUUGGAUUAGUCAAAUUCUUGAUGUAACUUGGCAUUGGUUAACUUUUGGUACUGAUUUUGGAUGUAAAGGAACAAGGAAAUUGUAGACUUACUUUGAACAAAUCCAUAUUUGAUUGGUGCAUCAAGAAACGAUAAUCGAAACAUAAAGCCACAAUUGCAGUUCGAGUGAUUAAAGUUAACUGUUCAAAAACCUCAAAGAUAUUUUCUGUUGUCUUAACCACAGUCAUCCAAUUGAAAAACUUGUGAACUGUGUAAAAAUGGAGGACGAAUAGAGUUAAUCCAUUCCAAGCAUUCAAUCGUAAUAUGAAUUGACUUCCAUCUCUAGGCCAUGAACCAAGAUAUUCCGACACCUUAAUUAAAGGCCUCAAAACCUAAUGAUAAAAUAUUUUCCCAAUUAAAUCCCAUUUCCGAGAUGUUAAUUAUCGGACUAAAAAACUUGCGAUUCUUACCUCAAGAUGAUAUGUUUCACCUGCAGUUUCGGGUCGUUCAUUUGGUGUGAAUAGUUUAUUCUCAGAUCCUUUGAUUGGUCGAAACAUUUUAUUCACUGUAUUUCAAUCAACUUUUAAUUAGCGAUUUGCAACUAAAAAUUAAAUAGAAACUGUUGACAUAAAAAGUCAUGUUAACCAAAUAAUCAGCAAAAGUAAAAUGAAAUGCUGAGAUUCC